GAUGAACGCUAGCUACAGGCUUAACACAUGCAAGUCGAGGGACCGGCGCACGGGUGAGUAACACGUAUCCAACCUGCCCUUUACUCGGAGAUAGCCUUUCGAAAGAAAGAUUAAUACCCGAUAUAAAGGAUGGGGAUGCGUUCCAUUAGGUUGUUGGUGAGGUAACGGCCAACCAAGACUUCGAUGGACAGGGGUUGUGAGAGGACGGUCCCCCAGAUUGGAACUGGGCCCCGAUCCAUACUCGAAGGAGAAGCAGGAGUGAGGAAGAAAGGGGAAUAGGCGCGAGCCUGAACCGGCGAAGUAGUGUGGAGGAUGUAGGGUUGUAGGUCUUAAACGUCUAUGAAAUAAGAAUAGGUAUUAUAUGAAUAAGGGACGGCUAACUACGUGCCAGCAGCCGCGGUAAUAC
rnacentral:rRNA from 1 species